rnacentral:rRNA from 1 species
UACAGGGGGGGCAAGCGUUGUUCGGAAUUACUGGGCGUAAAGGGCCAGUAGGCGGCCGACUAAGUCCGACGUGAAAUCCCCAGGCUUAACCUGGGAACUGCGUCGGAUACUGGUUGGCUUGAAUUCGGGAGAGGGAUGCAGAAUUCCAGGUGUAGCGGUGAAAUGCGUAGAUAUCCGGAGGAAUACCGGUGGCGAAGGCGGCAUCCUGGACCGACAUUGACGCUGAACGGCGAAAGCUAGGGGAGCAAACGGG